rnacentral:rRNA from 1 species
UACAGAGGGGGCUAGCGUUGUUCGGAAUUAUUGGGCGUAAAGGGCGCGUAGGCGGCCGGACAAGUCGGGUGUGAAAUCCCUCGGCUCAACCGAGGAACUGCAUUCGAUACUGUCUGGCUCGAGUCCGGGAGGGGAUGGUGGAAUUCCCAGUGUAGCGGUGAAAUGCGUAGAUAUCGUAAGGAAGACCAGUGGCGAAGGCGGGUCUCUGGACAGUUCCUGACGCUGAGGCACGAAGGCCAGGGGAGCAAACGGG